rnacentral:rRNA from 1 species
GACGAACGCUGGCGGCGUGCUUAACACAUGCAAGUCGAACGGAAAGGCCCUGCUUGCAGGGUACUCGAGUGGCGAACGGGUGAGUAACACGUGGGUGAUCUGCCCUGCACUUCGGGAUAAGCUUGGGAAACUGGGUCUAAUACCGGAUAGGAGCCAUCUUUAGUGUGGUGGUUGGAAAGUUUUUUCGGUGUAGGAUGAGCUCGCAGCCUAUCAGCUUGUUGGUGGGGUAAUGGCCUACCAAGGCGGCGACGGGUAGCCGGCCUGAGAGGGUGUACGGCCACAUUGGGACUGAGAUACGGCCCAGACUCCUACGGGAGGCAGCAGUGGGGAAUAUUGCACAAUGGGCGCAAGCCUGAUGCAGCGACGCCGCGUGGGGGAUGAAGGCCUUCGGGUUGUAAACUCCUUUCGCUAGGGACGAAGCUUUUUGUGACGGUACCUAGAUAAGAAGCACCGGCUAACUACGUG